GGCCUCGUGGUCCAACGGCUCACGACGCGCGGAUCACACCCGCGAGACGAAGGUUCGACUCCUUCCGAGGCCA
rnacentral:tRNA from 1 species